AUGUCUCUUACCUCGCUCGGUCAAUACGUCUUCCUCAGUCGAUUGAUCUUGAGCUGGAUGCUACCGUGGUGCAUAUGCACUGGUUUACGCACGAGACGAGAAUAAACUUGCCGAUCUUUGAGUACGAUUUCACCCAGUUCUCUUGUCUAGAUCCCAAAAAUGGUGGACCAUCGUAAUUUAUACGGCAAGACAA
rnacentral:snoRNA from 1 species